GACGAACGCUGGCGGCGUGCUUAACACAUGCAAGUCGAGCGGAAAGGCCCUUUCGGGGGUACUCGAGCGGCGAACGGGUGAGUAACACGUGAGUAAUCUGCCCUUGGCUUUGGGAUAACCACCGGAAACGGUGGCUAAUACCGGAUAUGACGGGCUCCGGCAUCGGGGUUCGUGGAAAGUUUUUCGGCCAGGGAUGUGCUCGCGGCCUAUCAGCUUGUUGGUGGGGUAAUGGCCUACCAAGGCUUCGACGGGUAGCCGGCCUGAGAGGGUGACCGGCCACACUGGGACUGAGACACGGCCCAGACUCCUACGGGAGGCAGCAGUGGGGAAUAUUGGACAAUGGGCGGAAGCCUGAUCCAGCAACGCCGCGUGAGGGAUGACGGCCUUC
rnacentral:rRNA from 1 species